GCACCUCCCUGAAACUGUUGUCGGUGCUACCGUAAAUUUCACUUCUGUAAUGGAAACGACUACUGCUGCAUAGUGUAGCUAGUUCAGUUAGUUUUUCAUAUGCUGCUGUGCCCUGCCUCCUGCCUGUUUAGCUGUAAAAUCUCUUUCCUAGGAUCUGCCAGGCAAUUCUUUCAAGGUAGUGUUCCAAUGCCACAAGACGGGUGCCGCACUGAGCCUUGCAACAUAAGUGGACUAGCAGCAUUGUAUGAUGAUCCAGUAUUCGAUAGAUGUACUGGGCAGCCAAGAUAUAUGUUUGCACACAAUGACACAUGUGUCACAAGAGAAGAUCCAUACUCACCACCUUGUCUUGUCGAACGUCAGCUCAGCAGCGGUAUGAAAAACAUGGCUCAAGUCGAGAAACUUGCAUGGUUAGGCAUUUUGUGAUCUACAACUCCUACUAUGAAAUUGCUCUUGGUACAUCUGGGAGUGUUGCUUUCACCAACGUUUCUCAGGAGUGUGUCUUUAAUGUUAGUGGAAAUUGUCUGUUCAUUCAGACUGCAGUGGGGAGUCCACUUCAAGAGCUCAACAGACGCAUCAUACUCAGGCAGGCAGCAGGGGGAGCACACCAGACAUAUAUGCCAGUGGUACAAUGGUAGCAUGUGGUGCACGCUUCGCACGGGCUGAGCCUUCUCAUGCCAGCAUCCAGAGGUCCAGGUUUGGUUCUUUGAUACCCCACAGUGCACCCACUGUCACAGGAGAAUGCUCUACAAAUCCACAGCAGAACCCGCACCACAGGGGUGCUCGAACACAAGACUGCUAUUCACCUGCUGCAACAGCCCACAGACUACAUACAGGAGGUGCGUGAUUAUUAGAGUUUACGGUGCCCAGGACCACGACAGUGCCUUAGUGAGAGCGUAAGCAUAUCAAUAAUGUGGGGCCAUGUAUGUAACAUAGUGGUUUUGUAUGUAUUUUUUUAUUUUCGCAUGUGUACUUAGCCAAUUAUUCCUGAGUUUUGGCAUGCCUCCUGUAUUCCUUUUACAAUGGUGCCUGUCAUAGAGAUUGCCAGCCAUGCCAGAUUGCAACAUCUAUCGUAUUCCACUUCAACUGAAUCUUGCUGAACCACUUGGGGCUUUUGACAGCUCGUGCAGGGAAUGAGAGGAUGUUCAAGGACAUUUCAAAACGUAUUAAAAAUUGCAUGUAACAAUAAUCAUAUGCAAGUUUGCAAGUGUUAUUUUUGUCCGCAGGUUUAGUUUAAGUAACCCUGACAGUUCUACUGCCAUCAUAUUGACUGUGUGCCAAUUUCCAUUGUGAUAGUUUUAUAUAUGGCUUUUAAUUAUGUCUUUUCACUGCUUGUAUAAGUGUUUUGUUUUAUCAAUUUAUUUUAUUUUGCAUUAACCCGUGACUGCAUGUCUUUCACACUGUCUGCCUACCUCCUGUGUGCAGGGCUCGGAACA